rnacentral:piRNA from 1 species
CCGGUAGAGAGUAUGGUGUGACUG